GGACGAGAGUUGACAGGGAGGGUUGACGAUCUAUCCCAUGAUGUUGGAAUACUACAGUCUUCCGUUGUCGACCUUCUAGAUACAGUAGCGGCGCUUAGGGGAGAUUUAGCCGGCAGACGAUGGGGGGACAGAGGGGAUGGCGGAGACCAUGAUCGAGAGGGUGGCAGAGAUGGUGAUGGAGAGGGGGGUCACCCACAUUUUUGGCGUGAUGAGACAUUGGAGUCCUUGUGGUUGUCUAUGGAGAGGGUGGCCCCAAUGGGGAUGGGAGAGGGGACUACGGAGGGGAUGGCCCCAACGGGAGGGGCGGAGGAGGUGACCCCGGAGGUCGAGAGGACGCCCGGCGUGAUUGAGGGUAAGAGACAUGCUGUUGAUAAGACGGAGCAGUUGGUCGGCAAGAGAUUAAGAGUGCCGUCAUAGUAUGUUGUUUUCCUCUUCACGGCUGAGGCCAAGAGGAGGACGUUCAUCGAUGGGACGUACCCGAACUUAUUCGGAGAGGUGGACAAUGCCAAGUGGAAAGCGUUCGAGACAGAGUGGAGGAGAAUUAUCCCCGGAGCUAGCCGCACGAUAGGACAAAGGACGAUCUCGGACCCUUACAAGUGGUUCCACAAUAUCACCACUGCGGGAGCUUGGCUCGCCGACGAUCACAUCGACCUGGCCAUGGACUUGCUGCGAGAUCGAGCU